rnacentral:rRNA from 1 species
UGCGUAGGCGGCCUGAUAAGUCAGAGGUGAAAGCCCACAGCUCAACUGUGGAAUUGCCUUUGAUACUGUUAGGCUUGAAUUAGGUUGAGGUUAGCGGAAUGUGACAUGUAGCGGUGAAAUGCAUAGAUAUGUCAUAGAACACCAAUUGCGAAGGCAGCUGGCUAGACCUUAAUUGACGCUGAGGCACGAAAGCGUGGGGAGCGAACAGGAUUAGAUACCCUGGUAGUCC